GGCAUGGGACAAGUAAUUUGUUGAGUCAUUUGGGUAGUUGUCCAAAAUAUCCCUAUAGAGAACGUGGUAAGGGACAACAAACCUUAUCUUUUUAACACAAAAAGGUUGGAGAAGAGGGUGUUGAACUUGUGGCAACAACCUUCACUGUAGGGGCUGGUAAAAGAGCUCUAGCUGAGAUGAUUGUACUAGAUGAAUUGCCAUUUAGGUUUGUUAAGGGAGCUGGUUUUCGAAAAUUUUGCAACGUCUUGCAACCUAAGUUCAAACCAAUCCCAUGUCAUACCACUAUUUCCAAAUAUAUUGUAGCAAUUUUUAACCAAGAGAGGGAUAAGUUAAGGAAUGUGUUGAGGGCUCAUAGAGUGUGCCUUACUACUAACACUUAGAUAUUCAUACAGAAUUUGGAUUAGAUGUGCCUGAUUAUCCAUUUCAUUGAUGAUGAAUCGAAAUUACAAAAACAAAUCAUAAAUUUUAGUCAAGUUGAAGAUCACAAGGGAGAAACCAUUGGUAAAAGAAUUGAAAUGUGUUUGCUUGAGUGGAAUAUUGGUUGUGUUUUUUCUUUAACAAUUGAUAAUGGUAGCUCUAACAACACAACCAUUAAAUACUUGAAGAGGAAAACAAAGGAUUGGAAAGGGAUUGUCUUAGGACAUGAGUUCUUACACAUGCGUUGUUGUGCGCAUAUUUUCAAUCUCAUAGUGAGUGAGGGUUUGAAAGAAUUAGAUGCAUUGAUUGCAUGUGUAUGUGAUGUUGUGAGAUAUAUAAGGUCAUCUCCACAUAGGCUAGAGACUUUUAAGAGAUGUGUGGAGAGAGAAAAAAAAAUUGAGACAAGGUCUCUUCUAUGUCUUGAUGUACCCACUAGGUGGAACUCCACCUACUUGAUGUUAGAGGCAGCUAAAAAAUUUGAGAAGGCCUUUGAGCGGAUGGAGGAUGAGGACUCCAAUUAUAAAUCUUGUUUUUCGGGUGAUGUGAGUUGAUAUAAUGGGGAGAAAGGAAGUGGGAAAAAGAGGGCUCCAACCGAGAAUGAUUGGUACAAUUAUAGAUUGUUUGUGAAAUUCCUAGGGCAAUUCUACAAUGCUACCAAGCGAUUUUCGGGCUCACUUUAUAUUACUUCAAAUUGUUUUUUUGAUUAUUCAAUCCAAAAUUUACCAAUUGUCAAAAAAUGAGUCAAAUGAGAAUGAAUUGUUAUCUUUAAUGGCCAAAGGCAUGAAGGAAAAAAUUCAAAAAUAUUGGGGGAAUGGAGAUCAAAUAAAUCUUUUAUUGUAUGUUGCGGUGGUGCUUGAUCCUAGAAAGAAGUUGAGGUAUUUCAAGUUCUGUUUUUCAUAAUUAUAUGGGGUUGAAAUGGUGAAUCAAAUGACGGGUCAAGUGAAGGAUUGUUUGACUUGUUUGUUUGACCAUUAUGUUGCAAAUGAUUCAAGUAGUGUGGAAGUGACUAAUACAAGUGAACAAUCUGCCAUGCAUGUGGAUGAUGAUUGCGAUGAUCCAUAAUUGUUCAUAUCAUCUCAAUUCAAUUCAUAUUUGGAUUCUGAAUAUUGUAUUUUCUACAAAUCUGAGGUGGAUGCAUACUUAGUUGAGCUCUGUUAAGGUACAAAAGAUGAGAAAUUUGACAUUUUGAAUUGGUGGAAGAGUAAUUCCUCAAAAUAUCGAGUAUUGUCCCAAGUUGCACAUGAUGAGUUAGCCAUGCCUGUUUCUAUAGUUGCAUCUGAGUUAGCAUGUAGUACGGAAGGAUGAAUCCUUGAUCCAUUUCGUAGCUCAUUAUCUCCUAUGAUGGUGGAAGUACUUGUAUGCUUACAAAUUUGGCUUCAAAGCAACAUACCGAUUUCUCUUCGCAAGGCAAUGGAUGACGUUGAACAAUUUGAUCAAUAUGACUUAGAUUUUCAAGAAUCAAGCACAAGCUCGAGCCCAUGCUCAACCCCAGUAGCAAGGACUGUUAUUAAUGUCUAGAAUUGGAAAUGGCUUGGUAAUGAAAUUGUAUAUUGUAUUUUGUUUAUGUAAUAUGGGCAUUAUAUUUCUAUAACUUUUUCUUUUAUAUUUAGUACAUGAAAUCUAAUUUCAAUUUUAUUUUUGCA